GGCACUAAUGCCCAUGCUGCAGCACCGCCCAGGGAUCCUUAAACCCCGCUGCAAGGAGCGCUAGGUGAAGCCUGGUCUGGGAAAGCAGCAGCACUGGGGUGACAGAAAUGGGACAGCUUCGACUGCGCGCCGGUUCCCAGGCAGAGCCAUAAGAGAUGGCAUCUAGAGGACAUUAAAACGGGUUUGAUGGUGACUCACCACAGCUCCUGGUGCAGGAAGAACAGGUUGUAUUUGCACAUGAAGCCCUUGGCUCAUCACACCUGGAGGAAGUGGCUUCGUGUCUCUCCCUGCGAGGUUAAAGAGGCGCAGCAGCCAGGCGACCGACAGGAGCUGAGGGAGAUGCUGUGGGAGGUGAUGGGCAGGCAAAGCCCUCUGCGUCCUGCUGAACUGUGCUCUGUAAGAGGAUGUUCCAGCUACGGAGGUGUUAAGUGUAUAGAGCAUCACAAGUACUUCAUGGGGUGGCCUCGAGGGCAGAUCCAGCUGCUAGUAAAAACAACAACUAGUACCACUAUUGUCCCCAACUUCCAGGAAUGACUUCAGAGAACGAAACUGUCCUAGGGCCAGGAUCAAGGAGAAACUUGGGAAAUACAACCACAAAAAUAAGUCUGCAUGUGCUGCUACAGCUGCAUUACAUUGCCGCGUGUGUUCCCUGUCCUGGGGCCAAAGGGGAAGUCUGAUGACAAGGGGCACGUUUGGAGCAGACACAAACAGCGACUUUCAGCCUGCAGAGUACAAGUGAUCUACUGGGAACAGACUCCAGAGCCUCGAAAUACCAAAGUUUUCUGAAGAAAUGGCCCCAAGAUCUGGUGGAUUAUGCCAAGCAGUGUUAGCGGAGGCAUCUGCUCCCUAGGGAAAAAGAGGUGUUAGGGUCUGGGCUAUGUACCCCCAUUUGCCCUCAGCCGUGACCCUUUGGCAGUGUCAGAAAUGCUGUAGAUGAACAACUUCAGGACUAGCCUCGAAGGCAGAUUUAUCACCUCCCCGCUUUGUUUGCCUUUGGAGCACCAAGCCCGGCUGCACCUGCAUUCACCAGCGCUGUGCUCCGUCCCUCGGCUGCCGGCGGCCCAGCCAGCUCCUCCAUCUGUCCUCUGCAUUGCAGCAGCGCUGCCUGCUUGCCACGCUGCAAGGCAGGCAGCCCAGGAGCAGCUGGGCCUCGGUGCCACCUGCCACAAGAACAGAGGGGAUGCACAGGCACGGGGAAGGCAAAGGUGACAUGCUGGCUUUGCAGUGACCUGGUCUUCAGGACGCUUUCGCAUCACGGAAUCAAAAAAAUCACAAGGGUGUUCCCUGAAAGGGACCUCCCCAGUCUUACAUCAAGGAGAAAAGAGUGACACGGCCUCAAGUGGCACAUCAGCUGGACAUCGAGGUUAUGGAGAAAGCCCACAAGGAGGUUACAGAAGACCAGGAAGGGCAGAGCAGUGCGACCAUUCUGCAGAUGCAAAGCCUGGAGACAGGGAUGUCCUCACAUGGGACCCAAGCAUGAUGGAUAGAGGAUUUGAGGCGUGGAGGAGGAACACAGCAGGUGCCCACAAAACAACAAUCUUUGGCAGAUAUGCUGGCUGGACAUCACUGAAUGCUGCGGGGAGCUCCACAGUCCUCAGAGCAGCUGGUAGGGUGCCAUCAGCUCCGAGAUUGCAGUGCCUGGAGUCACUGCUGCCCCUCUGCUGGGGGUGCAGACACUUCUCCCAGCAGGGCAGCAGGGAUGCGAGAGCUGGGAGGAAGGCUCCAGCAGCAGGGACCUCCCUGCUAUCACAGCACGGGAGAGCACUCAGUGCUGGCAUCCACUGAGAGGUCACCUAUGGAUGGAGCCCUGGAAAUAAAACAAAACUGGCGGCCAGCCAGUGUCUUUUUGCGGCACUGGGAUUUAUCUUCAACUGAAAAAUACCCACCUCGUCCUGGGAUCCUGCAUCCUUAGAUGCCCAGCACUGGGCCGUCCUUUGGGAGGGGAGCUGCGUUAUCUGACAAAGGGGGAUUAUGCUGUGAAAACUGCUCAUUGGGGAUUGUAUAUUAACAGGAUAUGCUCGGCUAGUUGACAGGAAGCAAUAAAGUAAUUUGAAGGAGACUGGGAAAGAGUGUGUGAGUUCCUGCGUCUGUGUUAAAUCACGGCACUAGAUAAGCAAACAGUGCAGCCCCAGAGCCCCGCGUAGGAGCACUGCCAAGAGUGAG
ensembl:lncRNA